CGAAGAUAUAAACUUAUGAAGUAAUUGAAACAAAUAAUAUUUACUCGAAUGCGGCGUACAUUUUCCUGCGUGUAGAAUCAAAGGUUCACCGUAGGAACGACAUUCCGAGUCGGAAAACAGACGCGAGCCGCCGCGGUGAAAUGCGAGGAACGACGAGAGCCGAGGAAACGUCAAGCGCGGCUCGAGUGAAAGAGAGAGAAGCUCGAAAUAAAAAUUCCACGCCUUUUUCAUGUCAGUUCUCACCUCUGUUUCUAUUUCCGAGCGAUGCAUAUUCAGGUCUGCUCUCGAUCGCGAAGUUCCAUCGCGAAGCGAGUAAACGCCGCGAGGAGGAUCGAUCAAUACGUAUGUCCGUCGGUUUCCUCUCGGCGGGGGAGCGGGCGCGAUCGAUGCCGCUGCGGAAUUCUGAAAUUCCACGCACGAAGUACGGAAGAAGACCUGAACGAGCGCGAACGAAGGGAGAGCAGAAAAAUACCGACACGGCCAACUAGUAACGCUCUGAUUAACGACGAAAUCGGCGCCGUUCGGCCGAAGAAAACCGCGUCUCCGCGUCACCAGAUGCAUCGGUUUCCGCUCGACAUUUCGGCGGCCCCCCGUGCUACGCGAUAAUGGAAGAUUACUAAGAAGAAAAGAUGAAGAACGGAGAGGAGGUGAAAAUACAGAGACGAGAGAACGCGCCGUAACUUCGGAACUUUGCUUCGCGAACGAACUUCGCGCAACAACACGUCCCGUUCGCAUUUUUCCACCCCGCGCGAACAUCGAUUCCGGUCAUGUUCGCGGCGGCGGAUAUAUCAUUACGUCACGAGAUGGCUCGUUCCGUCACACGAGACCCGGUGAAACCGGUUUGUGUGGUCGAGCUGCUCAAACCGCGGCUUUUUAACGCGCAACGGCCGAGGAUACCCCGCCGUCGUAAAGCACACGACCGUCUCUCGAUCCGUCGGUUCCCCACAACGUUAACCCUCCCUGACCCAAAUCCCAAUAUUCCUCGGGACAGCGCCGACCGAUUUCGCGGCAGGUUGACACCUGCACGCGCCAUCACAUUUGCCGAGCUCCGCAGCGAAAAUCGCAUCGACCGUCCGCGAGACGGUUCGCUGCGUUGAUGCGGAUUCGUGAAAUAAAGUACAAGCGCUUACGAGAGGAAGAGUGUUUUAAUAAUGCAAUGGAGGGUCGUAUGCUUACAAUAAUAAUAAUAAUAGUACGCACCAGGGGAAGACAAAAAUAUUAGACAUACAAUCAAUCACUGCGCGUUAAAUACGUCGUACGUUUCGCGAUCUAAGAUCUAGUCGGCACUACGCUCCUUUCUCCUUUUCUCUCUCUCUCUCUCUCUCUAUCUUCCUUUUUCAUUCUCUCUCCUUUAUAUGUCGUUGGUUUACAUUUACGGAGACACAACGAGAGUACAUACGUGUAAAUACAAAUACGUGUGCGAGUGCCGUGAAAACGAUACGACGACUGCUAAUACCGCUAAAAUGAAUUUUAACGAAUCGACACAUGAACGACUAUUCACAGGAGGAUAAUCCAUAUAAGGAUGUUCACGAGAUGUGUAUAUCUAUAUAUAUAUAUAUAUACACAUACACACACGCAUAUACCGGAUUGUCCGGCGUGACGCGUGCUCGUUAGAUCGUAUUGAACCACCUUCGAGCGAGAGUCGGAAGUGCAGGGGGAGAGUCGCGAAAGGACUAUGGAAGAAGAGCAAACGAGGCAAGGAAAGCAAAAGUGGAGGAGGAGCAACCUCCUUGCGAAGAAGAAGCGGGAUGAGGAGGAUGAAACUCGAAACUACAGAGCCAUCGUCGCUCGGAAUCCGGGACAGCGGCGAUAAUACUUCUCGUAGUCCCGCAGUCCAGCGUGGAACUCAAAGGUGAAGCACCCGCGUUCGGGGAGGCGUGUUUCCUAGAGGAGCGCGUUGUCGCCGUCUCCUCGCUUCUGGAAAUGAGCUAUCCGCUAAAACGUAAAUGGGGGUUCGAAGUACGCCUAUGAUACGCGAGGGACGUGCUAGCUCACGCUGCGAAUCGAAGGUGAGGCAACACCGACGUCCCUCGCGAAGAGCACCGUGGCGGAUAACAAACGAUAACGCGGAGGAAUAUAUCAUGUGGAUGCAGUCGUAGUGAAGAAGGAUAAGCACGAGGCUAGAAAGACGCGGAGAGGACGCGGAGAGGACGCGCAAUUUUCGGUUUUUCGCGCGUACACACGGAAAAAGAACUAUUCCGUCGGUGUAACUGAAUUCCUCGUUGCCGGUCAUGUGCAAACUCGAUCAUAGGAGCGGAAAGAUUUCCGCAGAUUUCCAGCUCAGUCAAUUGCUCUCAACCGAGUUUGAAUACUUAGCUGAAAAUUUAGCUGGGAAAACGUCUAGACAACUAUUCUCAUGGUAACGGAAAUAUUUGUCGUUUUCACCGAGUUUCCAUCUGUUCAGGAGCAGAAAUUGAGAUUUGUCUUCUGUGCAGGGAAGACGCACUGUCGUAAUCGAAGGGUAGAGAAACCGUUUUUUAAGAUCAGAGUUACGACGAAGAUUAGAGAAGAAGGAGAGCACGGGGAGAAGAGUGCCCCGGGAAAAUGCGACUUUAUUAUCGUCGAGUGCAUCGUAAAACUUGUAUCGACGAGCCUUCAGCCACGUUCUUAUCUUCCAUGCAACGACGCCAGAAAAACGAUCGAUACUGAAUCGAUCAUCGAGUCUACCCAGUUCACGCGCACACGAGACCGCACUCGUGUCUUCUACGAAGUUCUACGCGUCUACACCUAAAUAGCAGCUCUCUAUAAUGCCACAAGUAUACGUUCGAUUAAUACUCGGUAACAUCGGAAAUCCACCGGCACCGACGUGCUGGUACCCGUCAACUACGUGUCUACGUGUUAAAUAGUACCAAAGAUUAUCGUUAAGUGACGGCCGUUAAGGACGACUAGGACGACUAGGAGGACUAGACUGCUACUAAGGAUUGCGAUCGAAACCAGUUUGGACCAGUUUGCUUCUUCUUUUUCUUAUUUUUUUUUUUUUUCUUUUAGGUUGAAUUAUACGAGAGGACGACAAUUUUGGAAGGACUCGACGGACCAUCGUAUGAAAUUGGAAAAAUAAUCUCUAUCAUAUCCUCGCUACUACGUACUCUCACCACCGUUCCCGCACCGCGCUGCCACACCGCUGAUCAAAGGAUACGCGAUACUGCCGCCGAGGGCGAGGCAGAAGGUACAAUUGCAUAAACGAAGGAUCGGAAUCGCCUUGUGCGCAUCCUCGUAGUGACCAGCUGACGUGGCGAGUCGACUGCAAACGGUGAACGGUUUACAGUUCGGCCUGUUUCGGUGGAUUGCUCCUUAUUCGAUACUACGCAUCGACUACGCUUCGACUAUACUUGAGAGUUAAUAAUUUUUCUCGUCGCUAUAAUUCAAAGGACGCAUUGUACGUGUAUGAUCUCACGAAAAAGAUUGCCAGGAAAUUGCAUUUUGUGUGCCGUGAGAGAUCACGUUUAAGCCAUAUUCUGGGUCGAAGAAGGAGGAACGAAUCGACGAGACAAUCAAUUUUACGGGGAAUUCUCAGAAGUGGGGAGGGGGGGGGGUGGAGGAGGGAGUUGUAGGACUAGUACCUUUGAGGUAGCACCUUUCCCAUCCGCGAAUGUGUCGGGUUCGAGAAAUUCUCGUGGGACAUGAUCCGGGUUAUCACCGGAUUCUACCAGUAAUAACACCUUUCGACCUAAUCGAUACUUAGAAAAUAAGAGAGAGACGAACAACUGACGUAGCACAAUUUUCCAGAACGAAUAGCGACUAUACAAAGUCUGUGAGAAAAAUAAAAGGAAAAAAAAAA